rnacentral:lncRNA from 12 species
CUUGAGGACACUCAGGUCUUCCCUUUCGAUAUAUGAGGAGCCAUACAAUCAGUGAACACCAGCAUCGGAAUGCACACUGUUCCCAUGAACACCUUGGAUAUUGGGAGUUUCGUCUGCCAUUCCCAAACUUCUCUAAAACUUCUGAACUCCACAGCAACGUGGAACCAGUAUAGUUACCGGAAGGAUUUUGUUCAAUGACUUUCAAGUUAGUUGUUCAGUGAUCUAACAGAUUCUGAAAUUAGAGAGGCAUGCUUCUCUCCUUUUAGAAUAAGAAAGGGACUUCUGAGUGAAGAAUGUGUUCAAAAGAGAGUAUAAAUAGCCCUCUGAGCCCUGCUUGAUCAUCAGUAGAAAUGGCACCACAUGGAUCUCCGUAACCAAGUGGAAUCGCUCAUCCAGGCCGAAGAAGUUGGUUCAAGAAUGGAAAUAUCAGCACCAGCUGGCCUUGCUCUACCCCCUCUCCCACCUUUUCAUCCAGCAGAACUUCAUCCUUGCCUUCAGCAAGGCAGCUGAAGCCACUAGAGGUUUUGUAAUAAACCUUCCCAGGCUUGUGGAUCUGUCA